AAGACUUGCUACCCUACACGAACCAGUCCAAAAGUAACUGACAGGGUACAAGUUUUCCAUUUCCAAGAAGAUCUCCAUCCUUUGAUCUAGUGGUAUUUGUUGCAGUGGCCAGCUUGGUGCAGUUCUUCUACUAUGUGUUGACUGUGAUGUAUCAACUAGGAACCAUGUUCAAAAGAUAUCUUAAACUAUUUCCUAUUCCAAGACUGUGUUACAAUUGAAUGAAGUGUGUGGAUUUGACAUUUCAGCUGUUUGAUACUGUGUGGAGUGAAUGUAGAAUUGAAGUAUAUAGAGGCAAUGAAAAAGUAAGGUUUAGAUGAUCUACUGGUAGGUUUUGAACCUGUGAAUGUUUGUGAAGAAUGUGCACACAUUGUUCAUGUGUAUAGCUGUUAUUUCAUCUACAUUUCAUUAUGCACAUACAUUGUGUGUACAUGUACAUAUAUAUGACCUUGGUACAUGAACUGUUAUUUAAUAUAUGAUAUGUUUGGGAAUUACAGGUUGUGGAAUUGAUUGGUUUACAUGUAAUUAUAAAUUACAUGUAUAUAACAUUAUUUAAAUUGCAUAUAAGUACAUUUAUAUUUGUACAUAGUAACUUCAAAAUUAUACUGACACAUGUAAACAUGACAUAAUUAAGCCUUUAAAAAGUUAGAACCAUUUUAACAAGACCUCGGACUUUCGGUAGGAAGUAACUAUUUAUUUCUUGCAUCAAAACAGAUUAAAAGUGAUGCUGGUUUUGAGUGAAAUAUGCAUGUAUUGCAAGUCUUAGCUAAAAAACCAGACAAAUCUUGUUGAUUUCAAAGACCCAUGGCUGAAUGGCCAGCUGUGAAAUAAAUAUGCCUAAGUCACAUUGCUCUUUGACACAACUACCCAAAGUCCAAGCUCUUGUUAAAAGGGCUCUAUUCAUUCAUUUUUCAUAUACUGUCCUAAAUGAGAUCACUGACGCAAUGUUUUAAUCCAACAUUGUAGACAUGAAUAAUUGUAAAUAACAUCAACUGAUUGCCAGAUAAUUACGUAUUUAUCUGCAAUAAAACAUCUGAUAGAGUCUAUAAAAUUUUGUUUGCUCAAUUAAUUUGUUUUGCAUAAUAACGAAUAACUAUAAUGGAUUUAUAGUGUAUAUGUUGAAGUCUACAUCAAUGUAUUUACAUUCUGUAUUUAAGACAUAGAAAUGGUAACAAAUUUAUAUGAAUUACCAGUUAUACUACUUGUUGAACUUGACCUAAUGCUGUACAACCAAAUUGCUGUAAGAAAUGAUUUCUUUAAUACAUUCAAGUAUAUAAACAUGUGCUUAUUUUC
rnacentral:misc_RNA from 1 species